GCUGGUUUGAUACGGCUAAGAAAAUGAUGAGGAACACUAGGAAGGAACAAAAGAAAACAUGUUCUUUUUGUAGGAAAUGGUGAUAUGUCCCCCUUUGCGGAAUUAGCCCCAAAGACUAAGGUACAGAAAAGGAUAGAAUGUUUCAGGCUGGACAGAAACAAACCAAGAAGGAAAAGUAAUAUGAUGAGAGCAUGUGGAACAGGAUGAUAAUUGUAUUUCUCAAAGUGGUAAGGAUUGAAUGAGAAACUGCAAGUAAAACUUUAGGCAUAGUUAUAGGCACCAGUAAUCAUACCAAAAAUGUAAACUAUCACUAUUUUAUCUUUCUUAUUCUUUUUUUGUUUGUUUGUUUGUUUUUGGGUUUUUUUGUUUUUUUUUUGUCUUUUUGCCAUUUCUUGGGCCACUCCCAGGCUAGGGGUCGAAUCGGAGCUGUAGCCACUGGCCUACGCCACAGCCACAGCAACGCAGAAUCCGAGCCGCGUCUGUGAUCCACACCACAGCUCACGGCAAUGCCGGAUCUUUUAACCCACAGAGCAAGGCCAGGGAUCGAACCCACAACCUCAUGGUUCCUAGUCAGAUUAGCUAACCACUGAGCCACUACGAGAACUCCUCUUUUUCUUUUUUGCUUUUUUUUUUUUUGGCUGCAUCCACGGCAUGUGGAAGUUCCUGGGCCAGGAAUCCAACCUGUGCAGCAAUGCCCAAUCUUUAACCCACAAGGGAAUUUGCUGUUUCUUUUAUUUUUAUGCUCCUUGUUACCUACCCUCACUCCCAAAUCCACCUUCUGAUGGUCAGUUGAUUAGAUUCAUUAAUAGAAUUAAUAGAAUUACUGACCAGACUUUCCUUGGCCUGGGAGAAAAGUGUACUUUGUACUAUAGUUCUCAGGAGAACCAAGAUCUCCUUUAGUUCUCACUGUUGCCCCCAUGUAAAGCUUGCAAUAAUUUUGAUUUAGGUGUUUUUUUGCCGGGGAGGGGGGGACUCAUUAAGCAAGAGAAUCAACAAAUUGAGGAGAAAUGUGCUAAUUUUCUAAGUUAACAAUAAGCAAGACUCUUCCCACCCACUUUGAGGGUAAAACCUAGAGCUACACCUGAAUACUCCCAUUGCCUCUGUAUCUACUGAGGACAUGUGUGACAUAACCCAAUUUAGCAGAUCUUUAUUGAAUACCUGCUGUGUUCGGCUCCCUGUCUAGGCACUAGAGGAUACAAAGGUGAUCCAAGAUGUGUUUCUCGAGUUUAAUGGUCAGAAUGGUUAGAAAAAAAAAAGCAAAACCAAAAAAACAACGCAUUGUUAUUAUUAUUAUUACUUGCUUUUUAGGGCCACACCUGCAGCAUAUGGAGUUUCCCAGGCUGCGGUCUAAUCAGCUAUAGUUGCUGGCCUACGCCACAGCCACGGCAACACUGGAUGCUGAACCCACUGAGCGAAGCCAGUGAUCGAACCUCAUGGUUAUGUUUUCUCUGCGCCAUGAUGGGAAUUCCUGUUUUGUUUGUUUGUCUUUUUAGGGGCUGCACCUGGGGUGUAAGGAAGUUCCUAGGCUAGGGAUUGAAUUGGAUCUGCAGCUGCUGGCCUACACCACAGCAACAACAGGUCUGAGCUGCGUCUGUGACCUACACCACAGCUCAUGGCAACGCUGGAUCCUUAACCCACUGAGCAGAGCCAGGGAUUGAACCCACAUCCUCAUGGAUACUAGCCGGAUUUGUUAACGAUGAGCCACAACAGGAACUCCUUAAUGCAUUAACUGCUAUCAUGAGAAGAAAUGGAUUCAUAGAUAAAAGAGCAAAUCAUUCCCUAGGAGUAACUCAUUUCACCUGGUUGUUACAGGAUGCGAAGGCAUUAACAAUCAAUGCAGAGGCAUAUAAGGUGAAGAGCCACAAUCGGGAGUAUGAAAAGGGAUGAGGAGUUCUGAUAGUGGUGCAGCAGAAACGAAUCUGACUAGAAACCAUGAGGUUGUGGCCUCGCUCAGUGGGUUAAGGAUCUGGCAUUGCCGUGAGCUGUGGUGUAGCUCGCAGAUUCGGCUGGGAUCUGGCGUUGCUUUGGCUCUGGCGUAGGCCAGCGGCUGUAGCUCCAGCUGGACCCUUAGCCUGCGAACCUCCAUAUGCUGAGUGUGCAGCCCUAGAAAAAGACAAAAAAAAAAAAAAAAAAAAAAAGGGGACAAGAGUGUUGGGUCAGCAAGUCAUCCCACGCUUUUGAACUAGGAUGUAGUGAUACUAAAUGUUAUAUUUGGAAAAUUUAAUGUCAACUGUCAAGGCCAACCACUUUCUCCUAAAUUUUUAAAGACCUGCCUUUCUGCAUCAUCUUCUACCCAGACCACAGGAUUUUCCUUACUGAUGUCUUUCUUUAGGCCCCUGUAAAAACCCUAUGUAUUUAUUUAUUUAUUUCCCAUGCCUUCGUCCUGCAGAAGCUCCCAGAUCAGGGACUGAACCUGUGCCGCAGCAGUGAUAACGCUGGAUUCUUACGAUUACUCGACCACCAGGGAACUCCCAAAACUCUAUUUUUUUAUCUCUCAGCUCAAACUACUGCUUUUUAAAGUCUAAAGGACUUCGCCUAGGCAUACAUGUAAUAUUUGGGAAGUAGAUUGCUUUGUUUUUUUGGUCUUUUUGCCUUUUCUAGGGCCGCUUCCACGGCAUAUGAAGGUUCCCAGGCUAGGGGUCUAAUUGGAGCCAUGGCCACUGGCCUACGCCAGAGCCACAGCAACACCAGAUCCAAGCCAUUUCUGCAACCUACACCACAGCUCACAGCAACGCCGGAUCGUUAACCCACUGAGCAAGGCCAGGGAUCGAACCUGCAACCUCAUGGUUCCUAGUCGGAUUCGUUAACCACUGCGCCACGACGGGAACUCCAAGAAGUAGAUUACUUUUGUUCUGUGUGAUCUUACCUGCAUUUUUCAGAUAUGCAUUGACCAUCCUUUAAUAAUCAAUCUCACUCACAUUUUUCACUUUGCAAAAACACCUUCAUGCUUGCCCUUUCAGUUGGUGUUCACAGUUCUUUUUGAAGAGCGAGCCACAGUUUUAUCUUGAACUCUAGAAGUGAAGUGACUUGCUCAGAGUCGUCCAGUAACUUGUUGGCAAAAUCAUGACGAAGGAGUUCCUCAGUGGCCUAGUGGUUAAGGAUCUGUUGUUGUCAGUGCUGUGACUGGGGUCACUGCUAUAGUGUGGGUUUGGUCCCUGGCCUGGGAAUUUCUGUGGGC
rnacentral:lncRNA from 1 species